rnacentral:rRNA from 1 species
AGCGAACGCUGGCGGCAGGCCUAACACAUGCAAGUCGAACGAACUCUUCGGAGUUACUGGCGGACGGGUGAGUAACACGUGGGAACGUGCCUUUUGGUUCGGAAUAACUCAGGGAAACUUGUGCUAAUACCGAAUGUGCCCUUCGGGGGAAAGAUUUAUCGCCAUUAGAGCGGCCCGCGUCUGAUUAGCUAGUUGGUGAGGUAACGGCUCACCAAGGCGACGAUCAGUAGCUGGUCUGAGAGGAUGACCAGCCACACUGGGACUGAGACACGGCCCAGACUCCUACGGGAGGCAGCAGUGGGGAAUCGUGCGCAAUGGGCGAAAGCCUGACGCAGCCAUGCCGCGUGAAUGAUGAAGGUCUUAGGAUUGUAAAAUUCUUUCACCGGGGACGAUAAUGACGGUACCCGGAGAAGAAGCCCCGGCUAACUUCGUG